AACCAUAGCUUUAACUAUAUGGACCUUUGUUGGCAAGGUGAUGUCUCUGCUUUUUAAGAGGCUGGGGGAUAGGCUUCUUAUUAAUAUUCCUGUUCAUUUAUUAUUGCAUUUAUUUCCUACAAGGAACUCAAGGUGGCAUUCAUAGUUCUCCUCUUCCCCAUGUUAUCCUCACAACAAUCCUCUGAGCAGGGCUGGCCCAGGACGUUUUGUCGCUUGAGGCAAAAUAGAAAAUGCGUCAUUGUUCCUUAUGCCACCACCACCACCUGACUUGACUGGAAGUGGCCUGGAGAUGCCCCAGAGACAAGGGGAGAAAAAAGGCCAGAGAGGAGCAGGUGGAGGUGUGUGUCUGUGGCGGAGGUGGAGGGGGGAUAGGGGACAAGGGCAGGAGGCGGCAGGUGGCAAAUUCCUUGGGGGCUCAGAUCUGCUGCUCCUCCCAGCAGCCCCAGCCUGCUGCCUCACCAAGUUUCAUGGGGGACUUGAAACCUUGUCUCCCAAGUCUUCCACCUUCUGUCUUACACCUUGCAGAUCAAGUUCUACCACUGACUGGAAUGCACCGUCAGAUGCAGAAUUUAAAAGGCUUGUGCUUUUCUGGACAUGUCGGAACAACGGCAGGGUGAGGGAGUUGCGUGUUAAUCUGAACGGAUAGUCUUUAAAUUUCCACAGAUAACUUUUUAUACUUGGUUGCAAUCAAUGCACAGAACUUAAGACUAUAUUUCUAAUUGCAGGAGAAGGGAUAAAACAUUUUCUGGUGUUUUACUUUUUAUAUAUGCUUUUUCUGCUCAAUGGGACUAACUCCCAGAAGUAGGAAACGACAUUCUGCAGUGAUGCCCACAGUGGAUAUGGAUACCAAUAUCUAAUGUCCAGAAUCUGUCUCCCUUUUCUACAAGUAAAAAUAUUAUACAGUUUACUGUAAAGCUACUGGUCUUCUGCUAUUUUAUGUGAAGUACUUGUAUGCCGUGCAAAGCAAAAGCAUCAAAACCAUGCUGAAUAUGUAUUUAAACACCUGGCUUAUUGUGUUUUUAUAACUUCCGGCUGUAAAAAUAUAUGAAAUGUAUUGACACAUAAAAAUUGUUUGACCCAUA